CAACAGGCCGGCAAAUCACUGAAUAAUACACUCCGAAUCCGCGUGACGCGCUGACAGUCGGUGGCGUCGUCGACUCGACGCCAUCAAGAUAUUCGUAUAUUUAGUUAUUUUUCAAAGAUACAAUUAAUAAUUACAUUCACACAAACGAUACAGCUAUUCUAACGAACGAUUAUCGGAAUGAAUUUUAAUAUAAUGCGGAAAUUGUCUGUAAAAAUACACGGAAGAAACAACGCUUUGUCCGAAAAGAUCUGUAAGCACGCGCGCAUCAGGAUGAUAAUGGAGUCUGGGUCCUUGAAAACUGAAAUCGUACCCUUUGAAGAAAUCUGGAAUGAAUUCCCCUCCACGAAAGUGUCCUUUGUGUGAGAGUGGGAAAGAAUGAAGAGGGGAUAAUGGCGGCGAUCUACCUGGACGAUUUUUGUGGCGGGAAUUACGGUGCCUCGACAAGAUCCUAUACACAACAACGCUUUACCUCAGGAUCAGAAACCACCUGUCGGGAAAUAGCAUCAGAAAUUUCACUGGUACCGUAACUGUUCGACAUCAAUAGCAAGUGUAACAGAUAACAUAAUAUUUUGCUUUGUGACAGAAUUUGUUAAUAAUAAUAUUGUAAUCAUAUUAAAGCUUUUAUUUGUUUGGAAAAAUA